CUGGAAGCAAUGCAGGUUUACUUUGUAUGCAUUCUGGAAACACUGUGCUUUAAGAUGCUGCACAUAAACUGACAUCAUCUUUUCUGUCUUGACUCACUAAAGGUUGGUUUUGGUGGUAAAAGUCUUGAAUCUGAGGGGCAGAGCUAAGCUGCUGAAGCGACUGGCCGCAUGUCUCUGAAGCUCCGAGCUUUAUGCCAAAAAAAGCCUAUUUUUUGCUACCAAUACCGCCACUAACUGGACCCGGAGGUCGGUACCAGACUGCCCAAACACUAUGGGAAUGAAUAUCGGGGAAAUGUGGAGGCAGGCGCAGAGCGCAUACGGGCCUAAAAUGGCUGCCUUCGCCGGCGGCUGCUCAGAUUUCUCUGACAAACUCUCCAUGGACAGUGAGGAUGAUAUCUUACCUGCACUCCCAAAGCCACAACCGGGCUCGACAACACUAGAUACAGCCCCGGUCACCACGGCUGUCCUAAAGGAACUCCUGGCCGAUCUGAAAACCACACUCCAGACAGACAUAGCCACGAUCCGCGGGGACCUGCAGGUCUAACAAGCCGCAUCGGAGUGCUAGAAGAAGC